AGAGAUCCCACUUUUCAUUGCUUUUGGAAGUGAUCACGUCAAAAAUGGGACACAACGGAUCAAUGGAUUGAUAAACAAACGUAUUCAUAUAUAUAUUAAUGCAUACACAUAGACAAGAAGAUUGAUUGACUGAUUGAUUAACUGACUCAAAAUAUACAUGCAUAUAGUACACAGUGAAACUGCAGCUAAGGAUAUUAAAGCCAUUUCAUUGUCGUAAGAUACGAAGCUGUGGCUAAAUAUGAUAGAAGAUAUAAGAAGGUCAACGUUCGAAAUUUAAGCGUACGAAACUGUAGACAGUCCUGUCCGAAAAAAUGCUUGUGUUUGUUUGGGUAAGAAGUACAACUUUCGGAUUAUCUGCUUAAGGCUGAAAACGACCUUACAAUGGAAUUUGACCACAUGCCAAAGAAAAUGUUGUGGAAGAUUUUGCAGGAGUUGAGAUUAAAGACCAAUUCUGUUUGCUGUGAAGCCCCUAUAUAAAAAUCUAAUGACUCUUCCAGAAUAUUGGAUGAGAGUGCCUUAAAAGUAUCAUCAGUUUUUAUCUUCUAUUAAAGACACAAAAAAGAUGUUAUGCAGAACUAUUCUAACACUGUUUAUGUAAAUAUGUAGUGAAUUAGGAUGAAAUAUUUCUUCACAUCAUUUAUUAACAGCCUAUGUUUACUUCAUUGUCUGAGCUGUUUACAUGAUCAAUUCACAAUCUUAGGGAAAAUUUCCAAAAAAAGUUUACAUCUUCACAAACUGUGAAGCAUAAAUAUAGCAGUAGAAUUAUUUCUUUGCAAGAAAAUAGAAAAUACAAAGCAGAACAGCAUCUGUACAUUGUGGUGAAAUACAAAGAAUUAUGGAGAAAGAAAUAUGUGAGAACCAGCAAAAAUGCAAAUCACAAUCAAAGGUGAUUGAUUUUCCUGCUGAGAAAUUGAAACUGAAAGGGACAAGUAACCUACCUACUCAAAAAUGUAAAAAUAGUAGAGAGAAAUACUAUCACUGUGAUAUCUGUGGUAAGUCAUUCUUUCGAAAGUAUGAGGUUGCUAUACACAAACGUAUUCAUACAGGAGAGAAACCUUAUCACUGUGAGAUCUGUGGUAAAUCAUUCUCUGUAAAUAGUUCUUUAACUAAACAUAAACGCAUCCAUACAGGAGAGAAGCCAUAUCACUGCAAUAUUUGUGGGUAUUCGUGCUCAGAAAAAGGGGCUUUGGUGCAACAUAAACGAGUUCAUACUGGUGUGAAACCAUAUCAUUGUGAUAUCUGUGACAAAUCAUUUACUCAAAGAAGUAAUUUAACUAAACACAAUGUUAUUCAUACAGGAGAAAAGCCUUAUCACUGUAAUAUCUGUGGAAAGUUAUUCUCCUCAAAUGCUAACUUAACUAUUCACAAACGUGUUCAUACUGGUGAAAAGCCAUAUCACUGUGAUGUAUGUGAUAAAUCGUUUGCUCAAGCUACUGAUUUAACUAAACAUAAACGCAUUCAUACAGGUGAGAGACCAUAUCAAUGUAAUAUUUGUGGUAUAUGUUUCUCUGCGUGUACUCAGUUAAUCAUUCAUAAACGUGUUCACACAGGAAAGAAACCAUAUCGUUGUGAUAUUUGUGGUAAAUCUUUCUCCCAAAGUAGUUACUUAAUUCCUCAUAAACGUAUUCAUACAGGUGAGAAGCCAUAUUGCUGUGCUAUCUGUGGUAAAUCGUUUUCUUAUAGAAUUUCUUUUACAAACCACCAACGUAUUCAUACAGGACAGAAGCCUUACAACUGUGAUAUCUGUGAUAAAUCAUUCUCACGCAAUGAUUACUUAACUAAUCACAAACGCAUUCAUACAGGAGAGAAACCAUAUCAUUGUGAUAUCUGUGGUAAAUCAUUCUCGCUGUAUUGUCAAAUAGGGAUUCAUAAACGCAUUCAUACAGGUGAAAAGCCCUAUCACUGUGAUAUAUGUGGUAAAUCAUUCCCACAGACAUGUGGAUUAACUACUCACAAACGUAUUCAUACUGGAGAAAAACCAUUUCAGUGUGAUAUCUGUAAUAAAUCAUUCACUGUGAAUAGUACUUUGACUAAACAUAAACGUCUACAUACAGGAGAGAAGCCACAUCACUGUGAUGUCUGUGGUAAAUCAUUCUCACAAACUGGCAACCUAACUCAACACAAACGGCUUCAUACAGGUGAGAAGCCAUAUUGCUGUGAUGUCUGUGGUAAAUCCUUUUCUAAAAAUUGUUAUUUAACUCAACAUAAACGCAUUCAUACAGGAGAGAAGCCAUAUCACUGUGAUAUCUGUGGUAAAUAUUUCUCUCGUUGUGCUAACUUAAUUAAACAUAAACGCAUACAUACAGGAGAGAGGCCAUAUCACUGUGAUAUCUGUGGUAAAUCAUUCUCAGAAAGUGGUACGUUAAUUAAACAUAAACGUGUACAUACUGGAGAGAAGCCAUAUCACUGUAAUAUCUGUGGAAAAGCAUAUUCAAAAAAAUGUUCUUUGGUUAAACACAAAUGCAAUCCUACAAAAGACUAAAAUUAUCCAUGUCAAAAGUCAUUCUCUGAAAAAAAAAAGAAAUUAUAUAUAUAUAUAUAUAUAUAUAUAUAAAACAAUAAAUGUAUUCACAGAAGAAAUAAGAUGUGUAGGAUAACCUCUCUGAACAGUAUAUAUAGUACUCAAUUAGAUGUGUUUUGGUGAAAUGUCUUACAACUGUAAUAUUUUCAAUAAAAAACAUUAUUUCUGAGGUGUUGUGUAUACGAGGUCUGAUCAAUAAGUAUCCGGUCUGUUGCCAUAGUAACGAAGCUAAAGCAUGCAGAGUAAAGCUGCUUAGCACAGAUUGACCUUGACCUCUGCUGGGCAUGUGCACUAAGUUUUAACAUUCUAGCUCACUUCUACUGUUUACAGCAGUGCUUUGAAGUAACAUGAUUGUUGCAUUGACCAUGACAGAAAAAGUUGUCAUGGUGAGACCUACUCAGAGACCUGUGCAGUCUUGAUGCAAUCAGAGAAAUUCCAACAUAUAUGACAGCUAUUCCAAAAGUCUACUUUUCCAGUUUCCUAUUAGGAGAGGUGGAAUGAGUAAUAUUUACAGCAUUUUUCACUUUGAGAAAAAAAGGAGUGGCUGUGUGGUAAGAAGCCUGCUUCCGGUGAACCAGAAUGGACAUUUAACAUAUGAUGGCAGCUCCCACUGUGGAUUUUAGUAAAAUUGAAGCACCAGCAAUCACAAAGUUCCUCUUUUUGCAAGGCAAAGGAGCGGUGGAAAUCCAUGACGAGAUGAAGAAAGUCUUGAAGGAUGGCUGCCCAUCUUAUUCCACAGUGAAAAUCUGGGUGUCAAGGUUUCAAACUGGUCAUUUUGAGGUCAUAGAUGAACCCCGGUCAUGUCAGCUAACUUGUACCAAAGAGAAGCCAUAUCACUGUAAUAUCUGUGGAAAAGCAUAUUCUAAAAAACGUUCCUUUGUUAAGCAUAAAUGUAAUCCUACAAAAGACUAAACUUCCAUGUCAAAAGUCAUUCUCUGAAAGCAUAUAUAAAACAAUAAAUGUAUUCACAGAAGAAAUAAGAUGAGUGGAAUAACACCUCUGAACAGUAUAUAUAGUACUCAAUUAGAUGUGUUUUGGUGAAAUGUCUUACAACUGUAAUAUUUUCAAUAAAAACAUUAUUUCUGUGGA